GAUGAAGAACGUAGCGAAAUGCGAUAAGUAGUGUGAAUUGCAGAAUUCAGUGAAUCAUCGAAUCUUUGAACGCACAUUGCGCCCCUUGGUAUUCCAUGGGGCAUGCCUGUUCGAGCGUCAUUUCAACCCUCAAGCCCUGCUUGGUGUUGGGGUCCCACGGCCGCCGUGGGCCCUGAAAGGAAGUGGCGGGCUCGCUACAACUCCGAGCGUAGUAAUUCAUUAUCUCGCUUAGGGCGUUGGGCGGCGCUCCUGCCGUUAAAGAACCAUCUUUAACUCAAGGUUGACCUCGGAUCAGGUAGGAAUACCCGCUGAACUUAAGCAUAUCAAUAAGCGGAGGA
rnacentral:misc_RNA from 1 species